GAAUCACGCGAAGAUCAGAAGAACAAAGCUAAAAUGGAAAAGUGAUCGAAACAAAGAAAAACGCUUAUCUACAUAGCGGUAACGUCGUCGCCUCUCUACGUCUCAAUGCGACUUCAUCAAUUCCUACGUCACAUUUUUCACCGUGGUUCACGUUUCAGAAUGAUUCUGGAAUUGCGUUAGCAUCGUUGUAUCUCACGUGCAUUUGCAGAGUGAAUCGCGUCCAGAAAUCCAUCUUCUUCGCUCAUGGAUCUGCGCCUCUAUGAGUUCAUCGGCAUUAUGUGAAUCAAAUCAAUCGAUUCAAACAACAAUACUCAACAUGGAUUGACUCAAACUUACCGGUUUCGACGCGGCGGCAAAAAUAGGUGGAUGAAUGAAAAUGCAUAGUUCCCUGUGUUUUCGCCAAGAUCCUGUAUAGAUAAAUUUCCUAAUGUCCCUGUAUUAGUUAUGGAAGCCAACAUCUCAGAGGUUUGAUGAAUCAUGUUCGCACUACCAAACUUUGAUCCAUCACCCGUCACAAGAACAAGACUCAUGUACAACAACUGUGGACAUCAAUGCUUCGUCAUUAUAACUAGUUAUAGCUUCAUUAGAAACAAGACUCUAGGGCUAUGAAGUAUCGAGUUUAUGAUGGUAAUGUUUGAAAUUGACUUUUAUGGUGAUUUGUACAUGGAAUGUGUUUGUAUCGUGCAUGGUUUGAAAGUGUAUUAGUUCAUAGUUUACGAAAGAAAAUGGUUUAUGGUUUAUGAAGUGAAAAUAGUUAAUGGUUUAUGAAAUGAAUUAUCGGAUUGUCAUAAAACAUGAAAUAUAUUGAAUGUUCGUAUUGUAAUA